AAAGAAUUUUUCAGUUUGAAGAUAUAAUCAGAAAUGAAAAGAAAACAGUGACAGUUACAGAGGUUGUCAACAUUAGAUUACAACAGAAUUCAUAAAUAAUUUGUAAUCUAUUGUCUGAUAAAUGGGAUUUUUAAAAUUUUGUUGACAGGUUAUGCAACCAAGCUAUGGUUUGUAUGUAUGGCCAUCAGCUCCAGUGCUAGCCCAAUAUAUAUGGCACAAAAGAGAUCAAAUAAAGGGAAGAAAAAUUCUAGAGCUUGGGUCAGGCACAUCAUUACCUGGAAUCCUGGCCGCGAAAUGUGGAGGCAAUGUUACGCUGAGUGACAGUGAGGACCUCCCUCAUUGUCUGGAAAACUGCAGAAAAUCCUGUCAGGCCAAUGGACUGCUGGAUAUUCCAGUGAUAGGGAUCACUUGGGGCAGGUUUAAUGAAGCUUUGCUUGAUUUGCCACCUGUUGAUAUCAUCCUUGGCUCAGAUUGCUUCUAUGAUUCUAAAGGUCUGAAUCUGUCUGUAUUUCUCUCAUAUUUGACCCAGAUGUAAAAGAUUGCUCCAUUUCUCUCUCUUUCUCUUUCUCAUGAAAAAUAGAGACAAUUUCUUUACCAUGAUCAUUUUACACAUUUGUUCUUUUUUUGUUUUCAUUAAUAGACUUUGAAGACAUUAUAGUAACAGUCAGUUACUUGAUCAAACAAAACAAGGAUGCAGAAUUUUGGUGCACCCAUCAAGAGAGAAGGUAAGUCUAAGAACACUUUUACUCUUAUCAAAAAGAGAGAAAUAUAAAACUUUCAUAUCAGAUUAAUUUGUAUUGAUCUAUUUGAUUGUAGUUCAAACAGGACAGUUGAUGUAUUGUUGUUAAAAUGGGGACUGGAGUGCGAAAUAGUAAGCUUGGACUCUUUUGAUGCAGACAGUCCGACUUUGUGUGGAUCCAACCUGCCAGGAAACCAUACUAUCCACAUGUAUAUCAUCAGAGCAGACAGGAGAUACAAAGAAAAAUGAUCCGCAAUGACAGUUGGUGUCCAAGAACAUAAAUCUUUCCUCUAGCUCAAUACAUUCUAAGACAUCAAGACUGGGAAAAGCAGUUCUGUUUGGACCAGAAGAAGGCCGAGUAAAGACAUGAUUCCAUUUCAUAUGUUAUUAUUUAAAUGAAUGAAACCUACAGUAUUUAGAGAUAAGUUUGGAGACAUUAAAGAAUGUUUUUUGAAAUAUGUCAUCACUUUCUUUGCAUAGAGUGAAUAUGCACUGUAUAAUACUGAAUCAUGUACCGGUACCAAUGAGGAGUUUCAAUAAAAAAUGCAGAACAG
rnacentral:misc_RNA from 1 species